rnacentral:rRNA from 1 species
CGCCCUUAGAGUUUGAUCCUGGCUCAGAGCGAACGCUGGCGGCAGGCUUAACACAUGCAAGUCGAGCGGGCACUUCGGGUGUCAGCGGCAGACGGGUGAGUAACACGUGGGAACGUGCCCUUCGGUUCGGAAUAACUCAGGGAAACUUGAGCUAAUACCGGAUACGCCCUUUUGGGGAAAGGUUUACUGCCGAAGGAUCGGCCCGCGUCUGAUUAGCUUGUUGGUGGGGUAACGGCCUACCAAGGCGACGAUCAGUAGCUGGUCUGAGAGGAUGAUCAGCCACACUGGGACUGAGACACGGCCCAGACUCCUACGGGAGGCAGCAGUGGGGAAUAUUGGACAAUGGGCGCAAGCCUGAUCCAGCCAUGCCGCGUGAGUGAUGAAGGCCUUAGGGUUGUAAAGCUCUUUUGUCCGGGACGAUAAUGACGGUACCGGAAGAAUAAGCCCCGGCUAACUUCGUGCCAGCAGCCGCGGUAAUACGAAGGGGGCUAGCGUUGCUCGGAAUCACUGGGCGUAAAGGGCGCGUAGGCGGCCGAUUAAGUCGGGGGUGAAAGCCUGUGGCUCAACCACAGAAUUGCCUUCGAUACUGGUUGGCUUGAGACCGGAAGAGGACAGCGGAACUGCGAGUGUAGAGGUGAAAUUCGUAGAUAUUCGCAAGAACACCAGUGGCGAAGGCGGCUGUCUGGUCCGGCUCUGACGCUGAGGCGCGAAAGGUGGGGAGCAAACAGGAUUAGAUACCCUGGUAGUCAAG